GUGAGGAAUAUUGGACAAUGGGCGCAAGCCUGAUCCAGCCAUGCCGCGUGCAGGAAGACGCAUCUAUGGUGUGUAAACUGCUUUUGUACGGGAAGAAACACUCCCUCGUGAGGGAGCUUGACGGUACCGUAAGAAUAAGGAUCGGCUAACUCCGUGCCAGCAGCCGCGGUAAUACGGAGGAUCCAAGCGUUAUCCGGCAUCAUUGGGUUUAAAGGGUCCGUAGGCGGUUUAAUAAGUCAGUGGUGAAAGCCCAUCGCUCAACGAUGGAACGGCCAUUGAUACUGUUAGACUUGAAUUACAAGGAAGUAACUAGAAUAUGUAGUGUAGCGGUGAAAUGCUUAGAUAUUACAUGGAAUACCAAUUGCGAAGGCAGGUUACUACUUGUGGAUUGACGCUGAUGGACGAAAGCGUGGGGAGCGAACAGGAUUAGAUACCCCGGUAGUCC
rnacentral:rRNA from 1 species